rnacentral:tRNA from 1 species
GGGGAUUUAGCUCAAGUGGUAGAGCGCUUGCCUAGUAAGCACAAGGCCCUGGGUUCGGUCCCCAGCUCCG